rnacentral:rRNA from 1 species
UAAAARGUUUUGUUUUCUGCUCAUGACGAACCGACUGCGGCGUGCAUAAUACAUGCAAGUCGAACGCUUCUUUCCUCCCGAGUGCUUGCACUCAAUUGGAAAGAGGAGUGGCGGACGGGUGAGUAACACGUGGGUAACCUACCCAUCAGAGGGGGAUAACACUUGGAAACAGGUGCUAAUACCGCAUAACAGUUUAUGCCGCAUGGCAUAAGAGUGAAAGGCGCUUUCGGGUGUCGCUGAUGGAUGGACCCGCGGUGCAUUACCUAGUUGGUGAGGUAACGGCUCACCAAGGCCACGAUGCAUAGCCGACCUGAGAGGGUGAUCGCCCACACUGGGACUGAGACACGGCCCAGACUCUUACGGGAGGCAGCAGUAGGGAAUCUUCGGCAAUGGACGAAAGUCUGACCGAGCAACGCCGCGUGAGUGAAGAAGGUUUUCGGAUCGUAAAACUCUGUUGUUAGAGAAGAACAAGGACGUUAGUAACUGAACGUCCCCUGACGGUAUCUAACCAGAAAGCCACGGCUAACUACGUGCCAGCACCCGCGGUAAUACGUAGGUGGCAAGCGUUGUCCGGAUUUAUUGGGCGUAAAGCGAGCGCAGGCGGUUUCUUAAGUCUGAUGUGAAAGCCCCCGGCUCACCCGGGGAGGGUCAUUGGAAACUGGGAGACUUGAGUGCAGAAGAGGAGAGUGGAAUUCCAUGUGUAGCGGUGAAAUGCGUAGAUAUAUGGAGGAACACCAGUGGCGAAGGCGGCUCUCUGGUCUGUAACUGACGCUGAGGCUCGAAAGCGUGGGGAGCAAACAGGAUUAGAUACCCUGGUAGUCCACGCCGUAAACGAUGAGUGCUAAGUGUUGGAGGGUUUCCGCCCUUCAGUGCUGCAGCAAACGCAUAAGCACCCGCCCGGGGA